CGACGGCGCAGGGGUUGGGCAGAGGGCUGUUUGGCUUCAGGGCUGAACGUUUCAAAGAACAACAUUGUUGAAUGAUUUUACUGCUAUUUUUAGAGGGAACCCAACAGAGUGGUCAAGGAGUCAAAGCUAAUUUGGUUAUUAACAAAUUUAAAUUUUAAGG